rnacentral:rRNA from 1 species
CUACGGGAGGCACCAGUGGGGAAUAUUGCACAAUGGAGGAAACUCUGAUGCAGCAACGCCGCGUGGAGGAUGACACUUUUCGGAGCGUAAACUCCUUUUAUAUAGGAAGAAGAUGACGGUACUAUAUGAAUAAGCGCCGGCUAACUCCGUGCCAGCAGCCGCGGUAAUACGGAGGGCGCAAGCGUUACUCGGAAUCACUGGGCGUAAAGAGCGUGUAGGCGGAUUAAAAAGUCAGAAGUGAAAUCCUAUAGCUUAACUAUAGAACUGCUUCUGAAACUCUUAAUCUAGAAUGUGGGAGAGGUAGAUGGAAUUUCUGGUGUAGGGGUAAAAUCCGUAGAGAUCAGAAGGAAUACCGAUUGCGAAGGCGAUCUGCUAGAACAUUAUUGACGCUGAGACGCGAAAGCGUGGGGAGCAAACAGGAUUAGAUACCCUGGUAGUC